AAAAUUAUAUAGAGAUACAAGAUGGGUGAGGUAAUAUCUUUUAUUGGACCAACUUGUGCUGGUAAUAGAUACAAGAUUAUGAGCUACAUAGAGCUUUUCUU